UUCCUGGCGGUCUCUAAUUCGCUUGGUGCAGGUCGGGAACCGCUUCGCCCCGUUUGAGCCUAUAAACCAGCUGGCUCGAGGCUGCGGGGCGAAACGGAUCCCGCCUUGCAUCAACUGAAUCGGAGACCGCGGUGAAG
rnacentral:pre_miRNA from 1 species